rnacentral:rRNA from 1 species
UACGGGGGGGGCAAGCGUUGUUCGGAAUUACUGGGCGUAAAGGGCUCGUAGGCGGCCAACUAAGUCAGACGUGAAAUCCCUCGGCUUAACCGGGGAACUGCGUCUGAUACUGGUUGGCUUGAAUCCGGGAGAGGGAUGUGGAAUUCCAGGUGUAGCGGUGAAAUGCGCAGAUAUCGGGAGGAACACCAAUGGCGAAGGCAGCUCGCUGGGACGUUACUGACGCUGAGACGCGAAAGCGUGGGGAGCAAACAGG